GGUUGAGGGACAUAUGGCUGCAACGCGAGUCAUUCCAUUGAUCAGCAACGUUGAUCUGGCUGAUCUGGCUAGGCAAGUGUCCCCUUCUUCCCUCACUGCUUCAUAUGUGUCCCUCCCAAGGCUGUGCUCUCAGUCAAAGAGGACGACUUUCCCCAAACAGAGGAAGACCAGUCUUUGGUGGAGGGUAUAGAAGUAGUAGUGUUCCAAAUAAGUCAAGAUCAAGGUAUUUUCUUAAUUAGUGAUAACAGAGGUGUAGUCAAUCCCACUGAAUGAUGCCUUCCCUGGACAGCUUAUCCUUGGU
rnacentral:snRNA from 1 species